rnacentral:rRNA from 1 species
AAUGGUCUAACGACUGAACCAGCAAUUUGGAAGAACGUAUAAUAAAUAAAUUAUUUAAAGUUCUAGAUAAAAUAUUUAUAAUGACUAUUUUUUAUCUAUAAGUCUUGGCCAAAUUACGUGCCAGCAGUCGCGGUAAUACGUAAAAGACGAGUGUUAUUCAUCUUUAAUCGGUUUAAAGGGUACCUAGACGGAAAAUCAAGCUUAAUUAAACUAAGGACUAGUUUUCUAGAGUUUGACAUGAGAAGGUACGAACUAUCAGAGGAGAGAUAAAAUUUGUUGAUACUGGUGGGACGGACAACGGCGAAGGCAAUCUUCUACUAAAAACUGACGUUGAGGGACGAAGCCUUGGGGAGCGAGAAGGAUUAGAUACCCUAGUAGUCCUUGGAGAAAAUUAUGAGUGCCAUAGACUAAAGUGAAAAAGAAGUUCUUUUAAAAGAACUUUGUAUCUGAGCCUUAAUUGGAUACAAAGGUCUCGAGUAGCAGUUUAUAAAUGAAAGUGUAAGCAUUCCACCUCAUGACUAAAGCGGCAACGCCCAAAUUGAAAUCAUUAGACCGUUUCUGAAACCAGUAGUGAAGUAUGUUAUUUAAUUCGAUAACCCGCGAAUAACCUUACCACGUUUUGAAUUUAUUAAACAAGUGUUGCACGGCUGUCUUCAGUUAAUGUCGUGAGAUUUUGGUUUGUUCCAUUAAUUAACGAAAACCCUUGUUUCAUUUUUAUAUGAAAUAGUUCACCGUUAUAUUGGAAAGAUAAAAGGGAUCAAGACAAGUCAUCAUGGCCUUAAUAACG